GACGGAGGAUGCAAGUGUUAUCCGGAAUCACUGGGCGUAAAGCGUCUGUAGGUGGUUUAAUAAGUCAACUGUUAAAUCUUGAGGCUCAACCUCAAAAUCGCAGUCGAAACUAUUAGGCUAGAGUAUAGUAGGGGUAAAGGGAAUUUCCAGUGGAGCGGUGGAAUGCGUAGAGAUUGGAAAGAACACCGAUGGCGAAGGCACUUUACUGGGCUAUUACUAACACUCAGAGACGAAAGCUAGGGUAGCAAAUGGG
rnacentral:rRNA from 1 species